GGGGAUAUAGCUCAGUUGGUAGAGUGCUUGCCUUGCAUGCAUAAGGCCCUGGGUUCAAUCCCCAAUACCACAA
rnacentral:tRNA from 1 species